UAUGAGGUGGAUAUUAUUGCCACAAUAAUUUUCCAGAUGAAAAAUGGAGGCCCAGAGAUGUUAAGGAAUUUGCCCAAGAUCAUGAAAAGACACUCUCCCCUAUUGAGAUGUCAUGCAAGGAUCAGUGCUGUGUGAAAAUCCACAUGAAGCAGGAAAUGCAGGUGGUGGUGUCCAAUCUGAUUUCAAGAUCUGAGAAGCUGUGCACUGCCUGAAAGGUAUCUAUUUAAGGUGUCACCAGACUCCUGCUCCACUCCUGCCCAAGGCCCAGCCCAUCCAAGAGCAAAAGGCAAGUGGUGUUACAACCUUGGG
rnacentral:lncRNA from 1 species